AGUGAACGCUGGCGGUAGGCCUAACACAUGCAAGUCGAACGGCAGCACAGUAAGAGCUUGCUCUUACGGGUGGCGAGUGGCGGACGGGUGAGGAAUACAUCGGAAUCUACUUUUUCGUGGGGGUUAACGUAGGGAAACUUACGCUAAUACCGCAUACGACCUACGGGUGAAAGCAGGGGAUCUUCGGACCUUGCGCGAUUGAAUGAGCCGAUGUCGGAUUAGCUAGUUGGCGGGGUAAUGGCCCACCAAGGCGACGAUCCGUAGCUGGUCUGAGAGGAGGAUCAGCCACACGGGAACUGAGACACGGUCCAGACUCCUACGGGAGGCAGCAGUGGGGAAUAUUGGACAAUGGGCGCAAGCCUGAUCCAGCCAUACCGCGUGGGUGAAGAAGGCCUUCGGGUUGUAAAGCCCUUUUGUUGGGAAAGAAAAGCAGCAGGUUAAUACCCCGCUGUUCUGACGGUACCCAAAGAAGAAGCACCGGCUAACUUCGUG
rnacentral:rRNA from 1 species